AUGGGUUGAGUUGAGUUG
rnacentral:siRNA from 1 species